rnacentral:lncRNA from 1 species
AUUAAAUUUUAGAUGUCAUAAUUUGAAAGAAAAUAUGAAACAAUAAUUUAAAUCAGACUGUAUUUUUAUUUCAAGUGUUUGCAAGUCUAAAUACAAUGCUUAGAUCCGCGCAUACAUUUAAGUCCAACUACUGCAAUUGAAACUAUAUGAAAAAGUUCAAGUGCUGCAAUCAAAGCUAUAAAUUGGCUGCAGUUUCAAUUACAGUAACUCGUCAGUAAAGAAUCAGAUUUUCUAAUUUAAGAAAGAUAAAGUCGUUUUCAAACUGCAA